rnacentral:rRNA from 1 species
UCGAGGAUCUUCGGCAAUGGGCGCAAGCCUGACCGAGCGACGCCGCGUGCGGGAUGAAGGCCUUCGGGUUGUAAACCGCUUUUAGUGGGGAGGAAGGCCCUGUGCAGAGCAGGGUUUGACCUAUCCGCAGAAUAAGUGUGGGCUAAGUUCGUGCCAGCAGCCGCGGUAAGACGAACCACACGAACGUUAUUCGGAAUUACUGGGCUUAAAGGGUGCGUAGGCUGUGCAGAAAGUUAGGUGUGAAAUCCCCCGGCUCAACCGGGGAAUUGCGCUUAAAACUACUGUGCUAGAGGAAUACAGAGGUGAGCGGAACUUCGGGUGGAGCGGUGAAAUGCGUUGAUAUCCGAAGGAACACCGGUGGCGAAAGCGGCUCACUGGGUAUUUCUGACGCUGAUGCACGAAAGCUAGGGGAGCAAACGGGAUUAGAUACCCCGGUAGUCCUAGCCGUAAACGAUGAGCACUGGGUUGAAGGGUCCUCCGAUAGCCUUUCAGCCGCAGCGAAAGUGUUAAGUG